rnacentral:tRNA from 1 species
AAGACAUGUUGUACAAAAAAAAGCUGCUAACUUUUUAUUUAGCGGUUAAAUUCCGUUUAUGUCUUU